rnacentral:rRNA from 1 species
CCUACGGGUGGCAGCAAUUAGGAAUCUUGCGCAAUGGGCGAAAGCCUGACGCAGCGACGCCGCGUGACUGAUGAAGUCUCUCGGGAUGUAAAGGUCUUUUCUGAAGGAAGAAAAAAAUGACGGUACUUCAGGAAUAAGCCCAGGCUAACUACGUGCCAGCAGCCGCGGUAAUACGUAGGGGGCGAGCGUUGUCCGAAUUUACUGGGCGUAAAGCACGCGUAGGCGGACUAUUAAGUUGGUGGUGAAAUCCCGAGGCUCAACCUCGGAACUGCCUCCAUAACUGUUAGUCUUGAGUUAUGGAGAGGAAAGUGGAAUUCCUGGUGUAGCGGUGAAAUGCGUAGAUAUCAGGAGGAACACCCAUGGCGAAGGCAGCUUUCUGGCCAUAUUCUGACGCUGAGGUGCGAAAGCUAGGGUAGCGAACG